GUGAACUGGGUCCGUGGACAGAACAAACGGGCGCCCUACAGCUCGAUCAUUCGACUGGUUCGAUCGAGCCUAUGAACCGGGUCCACUUGAAAAGUGAUUGGAAUCCUCCUCGCUUCUCCCUCCCGAGUCUCCCACACCCAUUAAAAUGCAGAGCGGCAGAGGUUGGUCGUCCCCUCCUGGACAAAAUCAGCUCCCGAAAUCCAAAACUGAAACAGGUGAUUCUGAGCUUGGCGCUUGCUCGGAGGACCGAUUUUGGAGCCGGCGGAGGGGAUGUCAGGACCCCUCGAUCGAUUUGCUAGGCCAUGUUUUGAAGGGCUUGUACAUAACGAUGAAAGGAAAGAGAGCAGAUCUGAUGCAGACAACUCAGAAGGAGAUAAGAAGACUAAAAUUGGCUCUUUCAAGAAAAAAGCAAUUAAUGCGGGGAAUAAAUUCAGGCAUUCCUUGAGAAGGAGGAGCAAAAAAAAAAAUGAACCUAGGGAUUCCAUCAAGGACAUAAGGGAUGUUAAAGAGCUUCAAGAUGUCGAGACAUUUCGGCAAUGCUUAAUUGAUGAGGAUUUGCUGCCACAACAGCAUGAUGACUAUCACAUGAUGUUGAGGUUCCUAAAAGCGCGAAAAUUUGAUGUUGAGAAAGCAAAGAAUAUGUGGUCAGACAUGCUUAGAUGGAGGAAGGAAUUUGGGACCGACAAAAUAGAGGAAUUUGACUACACCGAGUUAGAUGAAGUUACAAAGUAUUACCCACAAUUUUAUCAUGGGGUGGAUAAAGAGGGUAGACCUAUCUACAUAGAGUUAAUAGGAAAAGUUGAUGCGAACAAGCUAGUGCAGGUAACAACCAUUGAUCGGUAUGUGAGAUACCACGUCAAGGAGUUUGAGAGAUGUUUCCAGAUGAGAUUUCCAGCUUGCUCAAUUGCUGCAAAAAAACACAUAGACUCAUGUACUACUAUUUUGGAUGUGCAAGGAGUGGGUUUCAAGAACUUCUCAAAAUCUGCGAGGGAAUUAAUCACACGAUUGCAGAAGAUCGACAGUGAUAACUACCCAGAGACAUUGUGCCGGAUGUAUAUAAUUAAUGCUGGCCAAGGCUUCAAGAUGUUAUGGAACACAAUAAAAUCGUUCCUUGAUCCGAAAACUGCUUCCAAGAUUCAUGUUCUUGGGAAUAAGUACCAACAUAAGUUGCUUGAAAUUAUUGAUGAGUGUGAAUUGCCAGAAUUUCUUGGUGGUAAAUGCAAGUGUGAUGAACAUGGAGGUUGUCAAAAAUCCGACAAAGGUCCUUGGAAGGAUCCCGAAAUAAUAAAGAGAGUUCUCAAUGGUGAGGCAAACUACGGAAGGCAAAUUGUGACUAUAUCCAGCACUGAUGGAAAGAUAAUUGGUUAUGCUAGGCCAGAGUACCCAGCCCAGAGAAAAGGCAGUGAUGCAUCUGCUGAGUCCGGGUCUGAAGUGGAAGACGUAGCAUCUCCUAUGGCAUCAAGGAAUCUGAUCACACACCCUAUUUUGACCCCUGUUCAUGAGGAGUCAAAAUUGCCAGCACAUGCUUACGCAUCUGUUGCUCAUGCUUCAAUUGAAAACAUUCCUGUUGUGGACAAGGUUGUUGAUGAUGGAUGGGGUAGUCCCAGAGCUAAUCUACAAGCUUCUUCCUCAGGUUCAUUUUCCUUGAGAAAUUUGCCUGGCACAUUCGGAGGACUCCGAGCUCAAAUAAUCACGUGGCUGACGGUCUUGGUCAUGACCCUUUUUGCCAUGCUCUGUUCUGUUCCAAGCAAGAUGGCUAGAAGUAUCUCUAACCAAUCUGUUAAGCAUGAUGACUAUCACGUUGAGUAUCCUCAAGAACAGGAGUGCAAGGAGGAGUUCCGACCUCCAUCUCCUGCCCCAUCCUAUACGGAAAAGGAUGUGCUUUCAUCUAUGCUGAGACGGCUGGGCGAGCUGGAGGACAAGGUGCAGGUGCUUGAGACAAAGCCGUCUGAGAUGCCAUUUGAAAAGGAAGAAUUGCUCAAUGCAGCCGUCCGCCGUGUGGAUGCAUUGGAGGCUGAGUUAAUUUCCACGAAGAAGGCCCUCUAUGAUGCCUUGAUGCGACAGGACGAGCUGCUCGCUUACAUUGACAAGCAAGAGCUGAUCAAAUUCCGUAAGAAGAAGAAGUUCUGCUUCUAAGAGCUGGGCGCGGCGCAGCUGUUCUUCACACGCAGAGCCGUUCGUGUAUAUUGGAUUGCGGCUAAUGUGUUGUGUGUGUGUGUGUAUUUUGUUGGUCCGUAAAGUGUGUAGUUGGUAGUAAAAACAGGCGCCUAGGUAUUUCAUGCCUGUUGCAAAUUCGACGAUGACCCGAAACAGGAUGAUAUACCAACCAGGUCAAGGUGUUUUGUAUUCUCUAGUCUCUACGCUGUGAGGCAGUUGAGCUGCGUGCUGCAUCUGCCGCGGUGUACGACUUGUCGAGUGCGUCGUGCGUCCAGGGGUGUUGGCGUGUUUUCAGUUCAUUCGAGUUGUUGGAGUAUUUAUCAAAUCCGCUCCCACCGGCACGAAUCA